rnacentral:rRNA from 1 species
GGUGAACGCUGGCGGCGUGCCUAAUACAUGCAAGUCGAGCGAACAGACGAGGAGCUUGCUCCUCUGACGUUAGCGGCGGACGGGUGAGUAACACGUGGGUAACCUACCUAUAAGACUGGGAUAACUUCGGGAAACCGGAGCUAAUACCGGAUAAUAUAUUGAACCGCAUGGUUCAAUAGUGAAAGACGGUUUUGCUGUCACUUAUAGAUGGAUCCGCGCCGCAUUAGCUAGUUGGUAAGGUAACGGCUUACCAAGGCAACGAUGCGUAGCCGACCUGAGAGGGUGAUCGGCCACACUGGAACUGAGACACGGUCCAGACUCCUACGGGAGGCAGCAGUAGGGAAUCUUCCGCAAUGGGCGAAAGCCUGACGGAGCAACGCCGCGUGAGUGAUGAAGGUCUUCGGAUCGUAAAACUCUGUUAUUAGGGAAGAACAAAUGUGUAAGUAACUAUGCACGUCUUGACGGUACCUAAUCAGAAAGCCACGGCUAACUACGUG